GACGAAGGAUCCAAGCGUUAUCCGGAUUUAUUGGGUUUAAAGGGUGCGUAGGCGGAUUGAUAAGUCAGUGGUGAAAGCCUGCAGCUUAACUGCAGAACUGCCAUUGAUACUGUCAAUCUUGAAUAUGGUUGAUGUGGGCGGAAUAUGACAUGUAGCGGUGAAAUGCUUAGAUAUGUCAUAGAACACCCGAUUUGCGAAGGCAGCUCACAAAAGCCCAUUAUUGACGCUGAGGCACGAAAGCGUGGGGAUCAAACAGG
rnacentral:rRNA from 1 species